UACGUAGGUGGCGAGCGUUGUCCGGAUUUACUGGGCGUAAAGCGCGCGCAGGCGGCUGUUCAAGUCCGAUGUGAAAUCUUCCGGCUUAACUGGAAAACGGCAUUGGAUACUGGACGGCUGGAAGGUGGGAGAGGGUAGCGGAAUUCCCGGUGUAGUGGUGAAAUGCGUAGAUAUCGGGAGGAACACCAGUGGCGAAAGCGGCUACCUGGCCCACUCUUGACGCUGAGGCGCGAAAGCUAGGGGAGCAAACGGG
rnacentral:rRNA from 1 species